GAACUUGGGGCUGUCCUAUCUGCGAGCAGUUCAGGAGAAUGGCUCCUCCCUGAUGGCAUUCUGGUUGUGGCAAAAAUGAGCGACACUGUGUUCUUCUCCUUUGUUAUCUUCCUGGGCAGCCAUUGGGGCACAGAGCCCCUGUCUAUCCCUGUGAUUGAAGGUGUGGAGAACAAUUUUUCCUCAAGUUCAAAGCAUCUCAAAGAAGAUAUGGAUAGACUAUUUGACGAGAUCGUGCUGCAGGUGUAUCCCAGCAAUCUAGAUGACGCACAAACAGCUGGCAGACUGAUCACGGGGAGAGACGUGAAUGAAACCUAUCUCCACCAUAAUGGCAUCAGCGAUUCUGAGUUUGAAUCAAGUUCACAUAAGCAAGAUGAAUACUUGACUAAGAUAUUUGAUGAGAUUCUGUGGCAGGUGCUUUCUAAAGAUUCAAAAUAUUCAUCAAAAGAAGAUGCAAGAACAACUGCUGAGCCGCUCACGUGGGAAGACGCGAAUGAAACUCAUAGUGCUGAGAAUAAAGAGCCAUCUCUAUUCAACAGGGACGUGAGCCCUCAAUUGACCGCUGAAGACAACGAAACGCUCCAAAAAAGCACCCGAGGUGCCUCCAGGGAGAGUCUGCCGUGCGGACAGCUGCUGAGCUUCCUGCAGAAGAAUAUCAUCUCUGCUACCGUUGCCAUGGCAGCAGUCCUCCUGGUGACGGUGCUGGUGGUGUUCACACUGGUCACAUAUAAAAGGCGGAGACAGACAAAGUAUCCUCCAGCGAACAUGACAUACAAUAUUUUUAUAAUGAAUGGGAAGUCUUUGUGGCAAAAUUCCCAAGAUAAGGACCUCAAAAAAUUCAUGGGAAAGCCGAAGCACCUGAAGUACAAUUCCUUCGUCUGAGCCGGUGGAGGGGCCAGCAAACGGCCACCCAGCCACUGCCAGAGAGUUCUUUUGCGCUACCCGGAUAGAAGUCCAAGGAUUUGAAGUGAACUCCCGACCUUGAAGCCCAGGAAGAAAAUGCGGCCGAGGGAGGAGCCAGCAGGUGGUAGGCAACAACCCUGGGACUGUGGUUUGAGCCCAGAGCUGGUAUCCUGAAGCCCAUUUCUGGAAUCUUCAUCCCCUCAUACAACAAUUUCCAAACACUGUUC
rnacentral:lncRNA from 1 species